rnacentral:rRNA from 1 species
CUACGGGAGGCAGCAGUAGGGAAUUUUCCACAAUGGGCGAAAGCCUGAUGGAGCAACGCCGCGUGAGGGAUGAAGCAUUUCGGUGUGUAAACCUCUUUGGAGCGGGAAGAACGCCGUUUGGGUGAACAAUCCAGACGGGUGACGGUACCGCUAGAACAAGACACGGCUAACUUCGUGCCAGCAGCCGCGGUAAU